rnacentral:rRNA from 1 species
ACUCAAAUGAAUUGACGGGGGCCCGCACAAGCGGUGGAGUAUGUGGUUUAAUUCGAAGCAACGCGCAGAACCUUACCAGCUCUUGACAUGUAACGUUUGGGGAACAGAAAUGUUCUUCUUCAGUUCGGCUGGCGUUAACACAGGUGCUGCAUGGCUGUCGUCAGCUCGUGUCGUGAGAUGUUGGGUUAAGUCCCGCAACGAGCGCAACCCUCACCGUUAAUUGCCAUCAGGUUUGGCUGGGCACUUUAACGGAACUGCCGGUGAUAAGCCGGAGGAAGGUGGGGAUGAUGUCAAGUCCUCAUGGCCCUUAUGGGCUGGGCUACACACGUACUACAAUGGUGGUGACAGAGGGCUGCAAAGGGGUAACCUGGAGCGAAUCCCUAAAAACCACCUCAGUUCGGAUUGUCCUCUGCAACUCGAGGACAUGAAGUCGGAAUCGCUAGUAAUCGCGGAUCAGCAUGCCGCGGUGAAUACGUUCUCGGGCCUUGUACACACCGCCCGU